AGAACGCUCCUUUUGGAGGAGAUUGUUCUUGAAAUUGAGGCUGCCCCUAUUCAUUGUAUAAUUUUGAAAGAAUAAGAUGGCUCAACUUGAUAUCCUAUGUCAAAAAAUGUAUUCGUAAUUUGGAGAGUGUAUGAGUUGCCUAUUUCCUUGAAAUUUGAAAGUGACAAGUAUCUUUAAAGAUAUGUGAGCGUCCCUAUAUUUUACA
rnacentral:misc_RNA from 1 species